rfam:Opisthocomus hoazin contig22590, whole genome shotgun sequence.
CCAACGGCUCUUUUCAGAGCCACCCAAGCUUUCCCAAAAAGAGCUG